UCGGUGGGGACUGCAGAGAGACAAGGACAUUUAGAUUAAUCGUGGAGAGGAAGGAGGAUGUUGGACACGUUAUAUUACUAAGAGAGCGCUCAGAAACAAAAAUAACACUUGACCGUCCUAUUUCAUGGGACAGGUGCUUGAGGAGAGGGGUGAGAAGAUCAAAGAUUGCACACUGUCUAAGUUGCAAUAUAUUCAUACCCAACAUUUCGGUGCCUUAAACAGACCUUCAACAGGCAAAUGGUUGAUGAGAAUGAGAAUCCAUCCUAAACAGGGAGUGGCUGUAAAUCAGCUAACAAUCCCGUUCUCCACUUUUAAUAUGAAGACAUAAAAAUCCAACAUUGAGCGAACUAUUUUCGAUUGUCCACGUGCUUAACAAAAACCUUGUUCA